UACGUGGGGUGCAAGCGUUGUCCGGAAUUAUUGGGCGUAAAGAGCUCGUAGGCGGUUUGUCGCGUCGGCUGUGAAAUCUCGGGGCUUAACCCCGAGCCUGCAGUCGAUACGGGCAGACUUGAGUUCGGUAGGGGAGGCUGGAAUUCCUGGUGUAGCGGUGAAAUGCGCAGAUAUCAGGAGGAACACCGGUGGCGAAGGCGGGUCUCUGGGCCGAAACUGACGCUGAGGAGCGAAAGCGUGGGGAGCGAACAGG
rnacentral:rRNA from 1 species